rnacentral:lncRNA from 1 species
CCAGCAGUGUUUCGAUGGGCAGCUCUGGACCAGAGGGGCUCCCAGGUGACUCCAGCUCAUUGCAUUUACUUAUUCGCCUUGCCACAAUAAGCUGAAUCAUUCCUCGUUUGUUUCCUUCAGUGGACAUGGAUCUUCUUAAAGUUUCCAUAGCAUCUUGAUUUGUUUUGCCCAGUAAUGAUUCUCCAUUUACCGCUAUUAGUUGAUCGUUCACUCGAAGCCUGCCAUCCUUGGAUGCUGCUCCACCGUUAAUGAUGGACUUGACAAAGAUUCCUAAAUCGGCAUGAUUUUCUUUUGACCGAUUCCCUUUGACACUCACACCAAGUCCAGCUGAUCCUGAGUCAUUAAGUGGAACUUCAAAUGUCAGGAAUUCCCUGGUGCCAUCAGGUGUGAGAACAAGCUCUUCUUCUUCUGCUUUCAGUUCCCUUGGAUGGAAUGUUUCUUCCUGUCGAAAAAUCAGGAGGCUGACAGUCCCUCCCAUCUUGGUGCUUCUCAGCAAGGACACAACUUCUUCUUGAGUUUUGCCUGUUAAAUCAACUCCAUUUACCUCAAUUAAUCGGUCUCCUGCUUUUAGUCUCCCAUCUUGAAUAGCUGCACCUCUUGGAAGGAUGUUUUUCACAUAAAUUGGAGCAGAGCCACCAAUUGGAACAUCUCUUGAAGUAAUGCUAAAUCCCAG